AACGAACGCUGGCGGCAGGCCUAACACAUGCAAGUCGAGCGGAUCCUUCGGGAUUAGCGGCGGACGGGUGAGUAACGCGUGGGAAUAUGCCCUUCUCUACGGAAUAGCCUCGGGAAACUGGGAGUAAUACCGUAUACGCCCUACGGGGGAAAGAUUUAUCGGAAAAGGAUUAGCCCGCGUUGGAUUAGGUAGUUGGUGGGGUAAUGGCCUACCAAGCCUACGAUCCAUAGCUAGUUUAAGAGGAUGAUCAGCCACACUGGGACUGAGACACGGCCCAGACUCCUACGGGAGGCAGCAGUGGGGAAUCUUAGACAAUGGGGGAAACCCUGAUCUAGCCAUGCCGCGUGAGUGAUGAAGGCCUUAGGGUUGUAAAGCUCUUUCAGCUGGGAAGAUAAUGACGGUACCAGCAGAAGAAGCCCCGGCUAACUCCGUGCCAGCCGCCGCGGUAACAC
rnacentral:rRNA from 1 species